AUGUACAUUCUUAUAGCAUUAAUGCAUCGAAUCCCAUUAGAACUCCAUAGUUAAGUGUGUUUGGGGUAGAGUAGUAAUGGGAUGGAUGACUACCCAAUAAUUCCUAGUUUUUUACAUG
rfam:Picea glauca, whole genome shotgun sequence.